rnacentral:misc_RNA from 1 species
UACACCUUCCCAAUCAUCAUCGCUAUCUUCACCACCACUCACGGAACUCCCUUUCAAACCGCCGUCGUUCCUCUGAAUCAACGGCUCAGUAUCUUCUGAAACCCCUGCUUCCUCCGGUGAUGUUUUCUCUUCAGCCUCGGAAGAAUCCGCGCGCGUAAUCCGGAGAUUUUCAUCACGGAAAGCGAAGAUAAUAGAGAAAAGCUUGGCGAGAAGGAAAGAGAAAAUGAGACCGAAGAUUAUCGACUGUAGAUACUGCUGCCAAUCGGCCAUGAUUAUUGAAGUAGAAACCCUAGAUCGUCGGAAAAUAUAUACGAGCAAAAACUGAAAGAAGAAAAAGGACGGCAGGGAUAGUUG